AAACAGCAAUCUUUACAGUAAAAACCUCUGUAAGAUACACAGUAAAACCAGCAAAACGUAGUAUAUUAAGGCACUUAAAACAACUCUCAGGGCUAACAUCUUAAAAAUGACUGAAUUACUAAUUAUUGCACAAAAAACAAAAACAAAAAAGAAAAAACAAACCCAAGAAUGAACGAAAGAACUGAGUGGACAGAGGUGAAGGAUCAGACAGAAGCUGGACCAGUGGGUGGGAUGGUUCUUCACCUGCCUCCAGCCAAAUCACAAAGUGAAUGAGGUUUGCUGGAGAGAAGCUGCAGAGCUGACACGGCCCAUCUCCUACUAGCCUUGUGUCCACUGGGAGGCACUCCUGUGUGCCUGAGACUCCGUUUGCUUAUCUGCAGCCCUAGGCUCACUUCACAUCCUGCUAGGACGUGAAGAUUAGGAGAGAACAACAGAAGCCUUUGUUACCCAUUGUUCUCCAAGAAUCACCCAAAGUUGGAAUCACCUGGUGAGAUUAAAGAGGCUAAAGUCAAAAGUCAAUCAUUUAUUUAUUUGUUUUAUUUAUUUAUUUUUAACGGUCACACCUGUAGCAUAUGGAAAUUUCUGGGUUUAGGGGUCAAAUCUGAGCUGCAGCUGCCGGCCUAUGCCACAGCCAUCGCAAUGCCAGAUUGGAGCCACAUCUGUGACCUAUACCAUAUCUCACUGCAACAUGAGAUCCUUAACCCACUGAGCGAGGCCAGGAUCAAACCUGUGUCCUCAUGGAUACUAGUCAGGUUCUUAACUCACUAAGCCAUUAGGCGAACCCCCCAAAGGUCAAUCUUCUUUCUCAAUAAAUAUUUAUGGGGCACUCACAGUUCAACAGCUCCUUCAAAAUCUAACACAGUUUUUGGCUUCCCUGGAAAUCUGCCAUAGAACUGCCUCUACAUAUGAAGAUAGUAAGAGGCUGUUGGUCUGUCUCCGUGGGAGCAGAGGAGCAGGAAAAGUGAGCAGGUCUCAGAGGGAAAAGUGGCAAAAAGCUAGCUCCAUCCUCUCUUUUGUGGUUCCCAAGCUGGUCCUACUGGGAUAAGACCUGGGUAGGUAAGAUCAUUUAUGAGGCCCUCAUUUCUGCAGCUUAAGUGUAGAAGCGGAAAGAUGAAGUCGCCUUUCCAAAUCCUUUGCGAAAUGUUUGCCGUGAAGAAAUCUAGUAAAUACAGGUUUCAUAUUUGCAUCUGAUAAGAUAGAAUUUGACUGUGACAUAAAAUAUUCGAGUUGAAAGCAGCCAAUCCAAUCUCCUAUUCCGCAGAAGGAAGGCUUGCCUCAGGCCACAUCACUGGUAAGGACCCUGUCCAUACAAGGCCUCUACCCCUACACACUGCUCUGGUUCAGAAGCUGGUGUCACAGCUUGGAUUGGGUCCCCCCAAAAGCUAUGUUCAAGUCCUAACCCCCAGAGCCUCAGCAUGUGACUGUAUUUAGAAAAAGUCUUUUGAGGUAAUCAAGUUAAAGUGAGGUCAUUAGGGUGGGUCCUAGUCCUAUAUGGUUGUGUCCUUAUAAGAAGAGUUGGAGACAUGGGGAAGAGACCACCAUCUGAAAACCCAGGGGGGAAGCCUGGAGCAUUUCCUUCCCAGGACCUUCAGAGGGAGCACAGACCUGCCGACACCUUGAAAUCAGACCUCUGGCCUUUGGAAAUGGGAGACAAUGCAUUUCUGUUAUUUAUUUGUUUAUUUUAUUAAAGGUCUCAGAUUUUUAGUCCAAUAACAAACUAAGAGGGAGGGUUUGUUUUCUUGGGAGGAAUUUUUUAGAUUACGGGAGUCACUUAAUAUAACUUUGAAAAAUAAAUCCACUUCAAAUACUGUUUGUAGUUCAAAGGUCCAUAGAAAUCCAAUUACACAAAUUUACAGUCCAGAGAAGGGGGAAAAAUCAUAUUACUAUUCAUGGAAAUUUAAGCAGGUUUUAUGACUGGAAAAAUAAACAGGGCUAUAGUAACUGUGGAACACCAUGACUAAGAACUCAACCUUGGGGUACUAGACGGCCUGGCUCUGGGUCCCAUCUCUGCCACGCGCCAAGUGUGUGAACGUCUCUGCCACGCACCAAGUGUGUGAACUUCAGUAAGCUGCUGACACGCUCUGAUUUUCAAUUUCCUUAAGAAGCAUGUUGUGUGGGUUCUCAGAGACGACAGGUUUGAAGCCCUCAGGAUAACAUUUUGCCUAUGGUGACUAUUAAGUGAAUUUUAGCUAAUCAUGAUGAUUACUAAUGGCAAAUUAUUGCUUUCCUUUAAAAAAAUAUUUAAAGGCAAACACCUAAAAGUUAAAAAAAUUAUUUGUUUGCCUUUUUUUUAAGAUGAUACUUUAUGUUUUAUUUUUACGUAACUCAUUCCAAAUCCCUUAUUCUCCAGCAUUUCAUUCCUUGACAGAAGUAUAAGACUUAGAUACCAAAUGUGAAAUUCUAUUCAAGAAUAUGGGUGGCCUGUAAGCCAUCUAGUUUCCCAGAAAAGUACAAAACAUUUUACAUACAAAGUCAUUAUUUUCGUCAACCUGGAAAUAUUUCAAAAUAAGGUUGCUGAGCUCUGAUUUGGACCACACCUAUCACAGUAUCGAACCACUGGCGAAUGCACUCAGCUUAUCUCCUCAACGGUUAUUGUUCAGAAUUGGUUGCAGGGAGGGAAAUUCAAUUUCCUUGUCACACUCAUCUGAGUUGUUGUAUCAGUUUGUUGGGCCAAGCCUAAAUUGCAGUGCUUGGUAGAUGCAGGAGAAAAAAGUUCUGAAAACAACCAAGUCAGAAGUUGAGAAGCUCCUGAAAAAAUAAAAAGAGAGAAACACUCUAGGCAGGGAGAGGAGGAUCUUGCUACUUAGGGGAAAUAGAAUAUUCACUGUGAGAAAAUCUAGACGUUAGAUCAGCUGGUACCACGGUCAUGUCAUGGACAUGCCAAAGCAGAGUGAAGGCACUUGCUAACUGGUGAUAUCAAGCUCUGUGAAAUCUCAGGAACCAGUUCAUGGAGGCCACCUCCCUAUAUGGCAGGACCAGCUAUUUAGAUUCUCCUGGCAAAUGAAAAUAUUCUGUAGAGCUACAUGGUUGUGCUCAAGCUAUUAAGACCUCAAUGCAAUAUAAAAUUUUAUAUUGCUUUUUAAAUGGGCUUUUAGCAGUGUAAAUGUAUCUCCCCUCCAAGUUCCUGAGGCUCACACUUGAACCUCAGGAUAUAUUUCUGGUAAUACACACAGAGACAAUGAGGCUUCAUCUAGAAACAGAAGGAGCACUUCUCCCUAUUUUUUUUGGGGGGGGGGUCUUUUUGUCUUUUUAGGGCUGCACCCGAGGCAUAUGGAGGUUCCCAGGCUAGGGGUCGAAUCGGAGCUGUAGCCACCAGUCUCGACCACAGGCACAGCCAUGCCAGGUCUGGGCCUGGUCUGCAACCUACACCACAGCUCAUAGAAACACUGGAUCCCAACCCACUGGGCAAGGUCAGGAAUUGAACCCCCAACCUCAUGGUUCCUAGUCGGAUUUGUUUCUGCUGCACCACGACAGGAACUCCAGAGAGAGCACUUGGAAUAGCUCAAUCUCCAACGGGCUUUCAGAAUGUCAGGCUUGGCCCUACAGGCUUCACACAUAUUGACCGAAGUCGCAAGAAACAAAGUUACAGGCAGGUACUAUGAUUUAAAAAAUAUUGUUUUAAAUUGUAGUUUAAAAAAAGCAACAUAGGGAGUUUCCAUGUGGCUCAGCAGAAACAAAUCUGACUAGCAUCCAUGAAGACACAGGUCUGAUCCCUAGCCUUACUCAAUGGGUUAAGGAUCCGGCGUUGCCACGAGUUGUGGUGUAAGUCCCAUGGGGCUGUGACUAUGGUGUAGGCCAGCUGCUACAGAUCCAAUUUGACCCCUAGCCUGGGGACCUCCGUAUGCCAUGGGGGGAAGCCCUAAAAAGCAAACAAACAAACAAACAAACAAACAAACAAAAAAACCUUAAAACUUAUCAUUUUUAAGCAUACAGCUUUGUAAUGUUAAGUAUAUUCGCAUUGCGAGGCAAUAGAUCUCUGGAACUUUUCCAUUGUGCCAAACUGGAACUUUAAAUCCAUAAACCACAAUUAUGCUUAUUCUCAUCUUAUGUAGGAGAAAACUGAGGUACAGAGGGAUUAGAUAACGUAGGCAGAGUCACACAGCUAGUAAGGGACAGAAGCAUAAUUCACAAGCAUGUAGUUUUGCUCCAACACUUACAGUCUUAACUAUCUAGCUAUGAAAGAACAUUAUUUGAAAUAGAAAAACAACCAUGGACACUUAAAAUGGAUUCUUCUGUAUGAGCAAUAUACUCAUAUGAUUGAAAAUGAAAAUGACAUAUAUACACACAUAUAAAAUACAUAUGCGUAGACACGUAAAUAUAAAUGCAUAUGUGUACAUGUAAUUACACACAGAGAAAGCUAUAUAUCUCUGUUUUGCAUUUGAAUUUUCCCCUUUUCCACAGAUAAGUAAGUACUUAUCUUGUAUAUUUUUUCAAACUAUCUUUGUGUAAAUAUAAAUGAUUAUAUCUUCCACCUACUUUUACACAAAAAUAUAGCCUUCUAUACAUAUUAUUUUGUAACAUGCUUUUUUUCCACUCAGCAUUUGUAGAGAGUAUUCCACAUCUAUUUAGAGAGCAUGUUAUUUAAUUGUAUGGAAUAUGAUUUAUUGAACCAUUCAGCUAUUGAAGGGCCUCUGUACUAUUUUCAAGCUUUCAUCAUUACAAAUUUCUCUACAAAGAAAAACUUGUCCAAAAGUCAUUUCACAUACGUGAAAGUAACUUGUAGCACACAUGUGCAGAGGUGGAAUGUGGAGUCAAGGGGUGCAUGCAUCUUUUUAAUGAUUUUUAAUUUUUUCCAUUAUAGCUGGUUUACAGUGUUCUGUCAAUUUCUACUGUACAGCAAAGUGACCCAGUCACACAUAUAUACACAUUCUUUUCCUCACAUUAUACUCCAUCAGGUUCCAGCAUAAGUGACUAGAUAUAGUUCCCAGUGCUCUACAGCAGGAUCUCACUGCUAAUCCAUUCCAAAGGCAAUAGUCUGCAUUUAUUAACCCCAAGCUCCCAAUCCAUCCCACUCCCUCCCCCUUCCCCCCCGGGAACCACAAGUCUGUUCUCCAAGUCCAUGAGUUUCUUUUCUGUGGAAAGGUUCAUUUAUGCCACAUAUUAGAUUCCAGAUAUAAGUAAUAUCAUAUGGUAUUUGUCUUUUUCUUUCUGACUUACUUCACUCUGUAUGUGAGUCUCUAGUUCCAUCCAUGUUGCUGCAAACGGCAUUAUUUUUUCUUUUUGUGGCCGAGUAGUAUUCCAUUGUGUAUGUAUAACACAUCUUCUUAAUCCAUUCAUCUGUCGAUGGACAUCUAGGUUGUUUCCAUGCCUUGGCUAUUGUG
rnacentral:lncRNA from 1 species